rnacentral:rRNA from 1 species
CAAUAGCGUAUAUUAAAGUUGUUGCAGUUAAAAAGCUCGUAGUUGGAUUUGUGGUGUAUGCAGGCGGCCCGGCACUUUGUGCUGGUGUUUGCUUGCGUCGCCAUCCUUGGGUGGAUCCUGUGUGGCAUUAAGUUGUCGUGCAGGGGAUGCCCAUCGUUUACUGUGAAAAAUUAGAGUGUUCAAAGCAGGCUUACGCCGUUGAAUAUAUUAGCAUGGAAUAAUAAGAUAGGACCUUGGUACUAUUUUGUUGGUUUGCGCACCAAGGUAAUGAUUAAUAGGGACAGUUGGGGGUGCUAGUAUUGACCGGCCAGAGGUGAAAUUCUUGGAUUCGGUCAAGACUAACUUAUGCGAAAGCAUUCACCAAGGAUGUCUUCUUUAAUCAAGAACGAAAGUUGGGGGAUCGAAGAUGAUCAGAUACCGU